rnacentral:rRNA from 1 species
GACGAACGCUGGCGGCGUGCUUAACACAUGCAAGUCGAACGAUGAAGCUGGAGCUUGCUCCGGUGGAUUAGUGGCGAACAGGUGAGUAACACGUGAGCAAUCUGCCCUUGACUCUGGGAUAACUGCGGGAAACUGUAGCUAAUACCGGAUACUUUCACUGGAAGGCAUCUUCUGGUGAAGAAAGAAUUUCGGUCAAGGAUGAGCUCGCGGCCUAUCAGCUUGUUGGUGAGGUAACGGCGCACCAAGGCGACGACGGGUAGCCGGCCUGAGAGGGUGACCGGCCACACUGGGACUGAGACACGGCCCAGGCUCCUACGGGAGGCUGAAGUGGGGAAUAUUGCACAAUGGGCGCAAGCCUGACGCAGCAACGCCGCGUGAGGGAUGAAGGCCUUCGGGUUGUAAACCUCUUUUAGCAGGGAAGAAGCGAAAGUGACGGUACCUGCAGAAAAAGCACCGGCUAACUACGUGCCAGCAGCCGCCGUAA